UUUCAACACAGAGAUUGAACAUCUUGAAGACGUUUGUCGUUACCAUAACAAUAGGAUAAUUCCUCCACAUUUAGCCGCGUGCCCUGCCUUUACCCAUCAGGAGAGGCAGUUCAACCGAGACGUCUCUCUUACCCAACGAAGCGUAUUCUCAAGACGGAUUUUGGCAGAAAAUGGAUCCUUUAAAAAUGUUGAUGUGGAUUUUUGUGAACGAUCAUUCAAACCUGCCAUGCUUUAUGAUACAUGCAAAAAACAGUACGAAAUUGGAUAUGAGGUUUAUUAUAAUGAUGGAGAAAUUCCACACAAAUGGUACAGCGCCAAUAGAAAAGACAAAUAUUAUUGUUUAAAAUCGGUGA